UUAUAAGGCAACAAAAUAGGGAAAAUGCCAAGGGGGGUGAAUACUUUCGCAAGCCACUGUAAAUGGUUCAGUUCACAUAAACAGUCAUUAUUUUCAGUUUGAGAGAUCAUCCCGGGCUUUGCCCCGUCUGCUGUAGCUGAGAUGUCCCUGGAGGACAUAGAACAACAAGACUAUGAUGUUUCUGACACUGAGACAGUCAGAGCCUUGUCCCAGUCUCUAGACCUGCCUGUCUGUGUGGUGGAUGACCACCUGACCUCUGAAGCUGUCAAUGAGAUGGAGCAGAGCAAUUCUACCAGGAGCAGAGCAACCUCAGUGAUGGAAACCACAGAAGAGGGGAAGCUCAACACUGUGGAACAUCUGACACUUAUGGACUUCCUUCAAAACCUAACU